rnacentral:rRNA from 1 species
AGUGAACGCUGGCGGUAGGCCUAACACAUGCAAGUCGAACGGCAGCACAGUAAGAGCUUGCUCUUACGGGUGGCGAGUGGCGGACGGGUGAGGAAUACAUCGGAAUCUACUUUUUCGUGGGGGAUAACGUAGGGAAACUUACGCUAAUACCGCAUACGACCUACGGGUGAAAGCAGGGGAUCUUCGGACCUUGCGCGAUUGAAUGAGCCGAUGUCGGAUUAGCUAGUUGGCGGGGUAAAGGCCCACCAAGGCGACGAACCGUAGCUGGUCUGAGAGGAUGAUCAGCCACACUGGAACUGAGACACGGUCCAGACUCCUACGGGAGGCAGCAGUGGGGAAUAUUGGACAAUGGGCGCAAGCCUGAUCCAGCCAUACCGCGUGGGUGAAGAAGGCCUUCGGGUUGUAAAGCCCUUUUGUUGGGAAAGAAAAGCAGCAGGUUAAUACCCCGCUGUUCUGACGGUACCCAAAGAAUAAGCACCGGCUAACUUCGU